rnacentral:rRNA from 1 species
GUCUACAGCCAUGCCACCCUGAACGUGCCCGAUCUCGUCUGAUCUCAGAAGCUAAGCAGGGUCAGGCCUGGUUAGUACUUGGAUGGGAGACCACCUAGGAAUACCAGGUGCUGUAGGCG